rnacentral:rRNA from 1 species
GGAUUCCCCUAGUAACUGCGAGUGAAGCGGGAAAAGCUCAAAUUUAAAAUCUGCCAUCAGGCCGAAUUGUAAUCUAGAGAAGUGUUUUCGGUCGUCAUCUCGGACAAGUCCCUUGGAACAGGGCGUCAUAGAGGGUGAGAAUCCCGUACUUGCCGAGUUACUGAUGUCUAUGUGAUACGCUCUCGAAGAGUCGAGUUGUUUGGGAAUGCAGCUCAAAAUGGGUGGUAAAUUCCAUCUAAAGCUAAAUAUUGGUGGGAGACCGAUAGCGAACAAGUACCGUGAGGGAAAGAUGAAAAGCACUUUGGAAAGAGAGUUAAACAGUACGUGAAAUUGUUGAAAGGGAAGCGCUUGAAGUUAGUCGCGUUUUCGGGGACUCAGCCGUCAAGGUGUAUUUCCUCGUGAACGGGCCAGCAUCAGUUUCAGACGUAGGAAAAGGAUUUGGGGAAUGUGGCAACUCCGGUUGUGUUAUAGCCUCUUGUCGUAUGCUACGUUUGGGACUGAGGACUGCCAUCUGUAGGAUGCUGGCGUAAUAGCUUUAAGCGACCCGUCUUGAAACACGGACCAAGGAGUCUAACAUGUCUGCGAGUGUUUGGGUGUUAAACCCAUGCGCGCAAUGAAAGUGAACGUAGGUGGGAGGCCUCGGCCGCACCAUCGACCGAUCCGGAUCUUUAGUGAUGGAUUUGAGUAAGAGCAUAUAUGUUGGGACCCGAAAGAUGGUGAACUAUGCCUGAAUAGGGCGAAGCCAGAGGAAACUCUGGUGGAGGCUCGUAGCGAUUCUGACGUGCAAAUCGAUCGUCAAAUUUGGGUAUAGGGGCGAAAGACUAAU